UGAAAGCUGUAAAAAAAAAAAAGCCAAGGAAACAUUAAAUACUGAAAAACCGACGCUGCGUGUGUAACGUGGGGGAGCGAUGAUGAGGCGGAGAUUUAUUUUGGGCAAAUCCAAACUCGGGGUCAAAACAGUCCAGGCUCAAUGAGCCAACACGGGGAUAUCGAGAGACAGACAUGACAAGGAACACAGGAUAAACACAGCGGAGGCCGGAAGAAACAAACACCAAACAAUAUCAAACACUUCAAACAAAGACCAGCGAGAGACUCGGGAAGGGGACAGGUAACGAGACACAGGUGGUCAACAAGAGGGUAACAGCCCUGUAUCUGCAGCCUACAGCGACAUCCAGAAGCCACUGUAGACCUCGCUUGACUACAUGGACAGACGUGAACAUGGACAGACGGGACAACAUGGACCACUAUGGAUUUACAAGUGUCUGUUUGAAUGAAUGAUCGAGGAUGGAGAGAUGGAAGUCCAACAUGCACAUCCUCACAGGCUGUGCUAGAGCUCUCUGAAGGCUGAAGGCUGGCCCAGACUG